rnacentral:lncRNA from 1 species
GAGUACUUUAAAUUUUAUCCAAACUUUUUUUUUCUCAUCUUGGUCUGAAAGUCUCACUUCUCUAAUAUUUUUACUUCUCUAAUUCUCUGGCUAGUACUGGUUAACAGUGAUACCAUGGCAUUUAGCAGUUAUUAUGAUUUCUAUUCUAAUAUUUUAAUGCCAGCUGAUUUAAAAACCUGUUUUGAGGGAUCCCUGGGUGGCGCAGCGGUUUGGCGCCUGCCUUUGGCCCAGGGCGCGAUCCUGGAGACCCAGGAUCGAAUCCCACGUCGGGCUCCCAGUGCAUGGAGCCUGCCUCUCCCUCUGUCUAUGUCUCUGCCUCUCUCUCUCUCUGUGACUAUCAUAAAUAAUAAAUUAAAAAAAAAACAUAAAACCUUUAAAAAAAAAACUGUUUUGAUUGUAUACAUUUUGCUUCUAAAAUCUCAGGUUAUCUCCUGAACACUUUUGGAUCACUUUGACUUUUAUACCCCAAACAGUCCUUAGAGUAAAUUUCUAUUUACAUAGAGCUCAAAGAGAAGAUUGGAUAACCGAAUUUUUUCCCUCAAAAUACUUUGUAUAAUAAUUUAUUGUUACACUAACACCCAGUUCUGUAAGUACAUUUUAUGCUGUCAAAAAAAAAAAAUAGAAUCUGAUUGGUGUGUCUCAUAUAGAAUGUAUUUUAUGGAUGUCUUCUACUUUUGUAAUUUCAAAGUUCAGCGCUUUUUAGUUCAUGUGUUCUAGUUUUGAGCAUAUUCAAUGGACUGAAGUGCUCCAUUUUUUAGAGAUAGGAAAUUUACAAAAUUUCUGGCAUCUUAAAGACGUAUAUUGGGCAAAGUUUCUAAGAAAAUAAACAAUUUUUCUUCCUCUGGAAGAAAAAACUCUAUUCCAUAGGUUUCCAGGGAAAACAGUUACCCCAAAUUCACAUUGAGGCUAUAUUUUUAAAAAUCAGUGCUUUCCAGGGGUACUUGGGUGGCUCAGUUGUUAUGCAUCCGAUCUUGCUCUUAGCUAGGUCUCAAUCGACAGGUCAUGAGUUUGAGCCUCUUGCUGGGCUCCACACUGGGCAUUGAGCCACUUAAAAAAAAAAUCAAUGCUUUCCAAUAAAUUUUUAUCAAUAAUCUUUAAGUUAGACAUGAGACACUUGAUCCAGACUUUCAGAUUUACUCAGUUUGUCUAACCUCAAAACUAGUUGGUCUAAAAAUGAUAUGCAUUAUCUCAAGAAGUUUCAGCAAACUUCACUUAAGAAUUCUAUCACAAUGCUGCUGCUUCUAGAGGAGUAUUUCAUGGAUUUUAGAAUGGGAAAUGUUAAAGCAUUCACCUUGCAGAUUUGUGUUUAAGAUUAAUUUAAGAAUAUAUCCUUAAAUUUUUAUGCAUAUAAUUUAUAUAAUUUGUAAUGUAAAUUUAUGUAGCUCAUAAGUAUAUAAUGUCUAUGAUUUAUUUCAAUUUAAUAAGAAUUAAUAUAUUUUACGUUAUUGGGGCAAUAGUAAGGAAAUUUGUAGAUAGCUUCCUUCUAAAAUAAUUUGUUAUUUACAUUGUUUGGAAAAUACAACAGAAUAUGUACAAUGGAAAAGCUAUCUCAUAAUACCUAAGGCAAAUUUUAUUCUUAAAAAAAGUGUAUCUUGAGAUCCCUGGGUGGCUCAGCAAUUUAGCACCGCCUUCAGCCCAGGGCGUGAUCCUGGAGACCCGGGAUUGAGUCCCACUAGGGCUCCCUGCAUGGAGCCUGCUUCUCCCUCUGCCUGUGUCUCUGCCUCUCUCUUUCUCUGUGUCUCUCAUAAACAAAUAAAUAAAAUCUUAAAAAAAAAGUGUAUCUUGAGUAACUAUGCUAAAGUAUUACCUGGUAAUCUUUUAGAUGAGCUUCAAAAUUACUUUUAUGAUGGGAGAAUAAUGUUUGCAUUUUGUAUGAAACUAAUUGGGAAAACAGACCUUGUUUAUACCGUCAAGGGGAAAAAGGCUUAUAGAGUAUGUAUGCUCUGAAUUUUUGCAAGUAACAGACUUCUGAUUUGUAUGCAAUUGUACUUUUACAUUUUAGUGUGAGAAAUGAAAAUUAUCCCAAGUAAUACAAUAUUUGUCUAUUUUAAAAUGCUGCCAAUCUUGGUAAAAUGCCCUCUAAAUCUUCCUGGAUUUGGAACCCAGCAGGUGACUCCUACUCUUCCUCCCGAUUCUCCCAUUCCGUAAGAUUUCUUUAACUUGAGUGUGUGUUGCCUCACUGUGUACUUCUGGCCCUGGGCUUGCUCAAGCAAAGGCAAAGCCUAUAAUUUGUUUCCCUUAACAGAGCUGAGGCAGACUGGGUUUUCAAAAACAACUUUACCCAAUACACGUAGAAAACAAAAGAGAAAUUUGAAAGGGGAAUUUGAAAAA